rnacentral:SRP_RNA from 1 species
GCUGGGCAUGGUGGCGCACGCCUGUAAUCCCAGCUACUCGGGAGGCUGAGGCAGGAGAAUCGCUUGAACCUGGGAGGCGGAGGUUGCAGUGAGCCGAGGUUGUGCCACUGCACUCCAGCCUGGGUGACAGAGCCAGACUCUGUCUCAA